GCCUGCACCACAGGCAGCAAGCAGUCUGUUGCCCGGGUCAGACGAGACUGUGUCCUGUUCCACCUAGCUAGAGGCUUAAGGCAAAUCAUAUGAAUUCUUCACUUGCUGUUUCCUCAUUCAAAAAAGGAAGGAUGAAAAGAAGGGACUUUCAUCGGAAAUUUUCGCUUCCAUGGUGCAGAAGUGAACUGCAGCUGUUCUCCCUAUUAACCUCUUCUCCACUGUCAGGUCACGAUCUCAAGGUCAUGAGAUCAAGCACCAAGCUGGGC
rnacentral:lncRNA from 1 species